UGCAGGCUUUCCAUCAGCCUGCAAUACUGAAGAGGCACACCAUCAUUGCCGGAAGUGCGGUUGGGAUUUUCCCUCCAAUCCAUGGCAGACAAAGCCGGAUCUUCGCUCGUGGCAGGGCGUUGAUCCAAAGAUCGCGCGUUUGAGCGUGUCAA
rfam:Rhizobium sp. YS-1r CONTIG.11, whole genome shotgun sequence.